UAUUUACAAAGGAUGACAUCUAAAUGCAUGCCAGUGUCUGCGGGGAGAGCAACAUGAAUGAGGGAGAUGCAGAUAUUAAUGAGGACACCAAUGAGCACCUCAGCAGCAUAUCAGACAUCCUGAUGUCACUUGAAAAGAAAGCUGACACAUCCCGGUGAUUUACCAUCAAUGUGACAAGAGAAG